rnacentral:rRNA from 1 species
GACGUAGGGGGCGAGCGUUAUCCGGAAUGAUUGGGUGUAAAGGGUGAGUAGGCGGCUAACCAAGUCAUAUGUUAAAGGCUGUAGCUUAACUGCAGUAAGGCAUAAGAAACUGGGUAGCUAGAGUGCAGGAGAGGUAAGCGGAAUUUCUAGUGUAGCGGUGAAAUGCGUAGAUAUUAGGAAGAACACCAGUGGCGAAGGCGGCUUACUGGACUGUAACAGACGCUGAGGCACGAAAGCGUGGGGAGCAAACA